rnacentral:lncRNA from 1 species
AGAUGUCCUAGGUCCUCCCAAUUCUUAGUCCUUUUAUACCUGUUUUUCUCCUUCCCUUAUUCCAUUUAGUUUUUCAAUUCAUACAAAACCAUAUCCAGGCCAUCACCAAUCAUUCUAUACGACAAAUGUUUCUUCUAACAUCCCCACAAUAUCACCCCUUACCACAAGAUCUCCCUUCAGCUUAAUCUCCCCCACUCUAGGUUCCCACGCUGCCCCUAAUCUCGCUUGAAGCAGCCCUGAGAAACAUCGCCCAUUCUCUCUCCAUACCACCCUCAAAAAUUUUCGCUGCCCCAACACUUCAACACUAUUUUGUUUUAUUUUUCUUAUUAAUAUAAGAAGGCAGGAAUGUCAGGCCUCUGAGCCCAAGCCAAGCCAUCGUAUCCCCUGUGACUUGCACGUAUACGCCCAGAUGGCCUGAAGUAACUGAAGAAUCCCAAAAGAAAUGAAAAGGCCCUGCCCCGCCUUAACUGAUGACAUUCCACCACUGUGAUUGGUUCCUGCCCCACCUUAACUGAGUGAUUAACCCUGUGAAUUUCCUUCUCCUGGCUCAGAAGCUCCCCCACUGAGCACCUUGUGACCCCCGCCCCUGCCCACCAGAGAACAACCCCCUUUGACUGUAAUUUUCCAUUACCUUCCCAAAUCCUAUAAAACAGCCCCACCCCUAUCUCCCUUCACUGACUCUCUUUUGGGACUCAGCCCACCUGCACCCAGGUGAAAUAAACAGCUUUAUUGCUCACACAAAGCCUGUUUGGUGGUCUCUUCACAGGGACGCACAUGAAACAUACUGUCUGUAAGAACCAGCCCUAAGCACUGGCAGCAUAGACUCACAUUGAGAUGACUUUUCAGCCCUGUCCUCAAGAAGCUUGAAAUUUAGUUGAGGAGAUCGGAAACAAAUGAGUUAAAUAGUUUAGAGAAAUGAAGAAAACAAUUGAAAAAGAGAGAAUGGAAAAGAAUAGAAACACUUGUCUCUAAGUUUCUUACGAAGAAUAGUUGGUAUUUAGGAGGCUUCUCUCAAUAAAAAAAGAAACCAACAAAACUAUGUUAUUAAUGAUAAUAUUAACCAAAAAACCAAACUCUGUAAAACACUUUAAAGAAGUUUAUUCUGAGUCUAUAUGAGUGACCACAGCCCAGAGAAACACAAAUCCAAGAAGCCAUUAACAAGUGACACAGCCAAAUUACAUUUUGGCUUUAUAUAUUUCAGGGAGGCAGGAGUUAAUUACAGGCAAAGACAUAAACCAAUACAUGGAAGGUAUACAUUGGUUUGGCCUGAAAAGGUGGGCUAUCUUGAAGUGGGGCUUUCAGGUUAUAGGUGAAUAGAGAGAUUCUUUAAUUUGCAAUAGGAUAAAGGAGUAAAGCUCUGUCUAAAACUUGAGUCAGCAGAAAGGACUGUUUUAAGUUAACAUAAGGAUGUUAUGUGGCAAGGAUGAUGGCCUGCAGAUGGAACUUGACUCUUGACUUGCAUGCCUUAGGUCUUGUGUAUAAUUUGUAAUCUUAUUGCCACAAAGAGUCUCUUUUGUCAGCCUUAUGAUCACUGUUUUAACAUUAAUACUAGUCAGUAGUUGUGCCUAAACUCCAAAAGGGAAGGGGCAUAAUGAGGUGUGUUCCAUCUGCUUUCCUUCAGGUCCAGGAACUCACUUUUUAUGGUUUCUCUGGGGUCCCCUUUGGCUAAGAGAAGGUCUGUUCAGCAGACAGACCUAGGCACUGCCCUCUUCCCCAAGCCAGCAGGAAAUAAGCACACAGCAUUUCUACUUUCCAUAUCUAAUCGUGAUGUUUAGGCUGACAGCAAAAGUGCCAGGUACUGUCAGUUGUGAUCACAGUCACCAAACUGGAGAACAUGGACUGAGACCCCGACAUUGACCAAACCUGAGACUGAGACAGCAGCUGCUUCACAUCUCUACCACACAGAUGCAGAUGCAGUUGCAAAGCAGUAGUACUCGGGAGUGAAAGGCAGUCAUGCUCCUCUGGUUCAUCUCGCAUCCUGUGUUGUCCACAUUGCACCCCUGUCCCUUUCCAUUUAUCACGCCAGUCUUGACAAAGAGGCAUGCUGUUUUUUUCCCUGCUUUAACCUGUUUCAGAAAUGCUGACCUUGCGAAGGUAAGUAAUUCUCACAUCUUUUUCUUAACAUUUAAUUUUUUUUUUAUUCCAGCUGACAGAGCGAAGUGUUAGGUACAAACUUAACAGAUACUCAAAUUAGUUGUUCCUAAAAUAAUUUCUUGCUAAUUGGGCAAUUAUUUUAUGUUAUAUUGAUGGGGGGAAAGGAUACAUGGCACUUCAAUUAUAGGGUAAAAUAAUAAAAAAAGUCAAUUAAUACUUGACUUCAAUAUUCUUUUAUAAAACAACCAGGGCUGUGUGUGUGUCCUCUUCAUCCCCGCUCACACCCACUGUAGGAUGAAAAAUAGGGGAAUGGAGGUGUGUUCAGACUCAAGAAUAUACACUGGGCCCUAGAAUAAAUAAUUGAUGAUCUUAAAAAGAGCAUAUCUACAAUGGAGAGAAUGAACAAACACUUGCUUGGUUUAUAGAUAUCUUUCCCUGAGAUUUCAAACAUACUUUUUCCUUGCUUUUGAUUUCUUGGAUUUUUUUAAAACAAUUUUCAUGGUGUUACUGAAUAUACUAGUUUCCUAUUGCUGUUAUGAAAAAUUACCAAAAACUGUGUGGUUAAAACAACACAAAUUUAUUAUCUUACAGUUCUGGAGGUCAGAAGUCCUAAAUGGGUCUUACGGCUAAAAUCAUGUCAGCAGAGCUACAUAUCUGGAGGAUAUUUUCCAGAUCCUAGAGGCUGCCUACAUUCUUAGGCUUAGGGCCUUUUCCUGUAUCUCUUAAACUCAUCUCUCCAAUCUCAGCUUCCAUUGUCAAAUCUCCUCUUUGAUUCUAACCUUCUAACUUCCUCUUAAAAUGACACUUGCGGUUAAACUAAACCCCCACCCAGAUGAUUCAGAAAAAUCUCCCAUCCUCAAAUCCUUCACUUAAUCAUAUCUGCAAAGUUUACUUUGCCAUGUAAGGUGACAUAUUCACAAAUUCUGGAGAUUAAGACAGGGAUAUCUUUGGAGACAAUUAUUUUGUUUACCACAGUGACUUCCUUUCAGUUUUCACCAAAAAAAUUGCUCACUUAUUUUAUGCAAUGUGCCAGUAUGCUCUCCCAUCUAUCUAUCCUCCUCUUCUGCUCAGCUCUGUAACAUAGAAAGCUAUACCUCCAAGCCCCUCUGCCAUUCUAGCUUCUAGAUAGGUUUUACUAUAGAUUGGGAAGCAAUGGUGUAAAAUUAAAGGACUUGACGCAGGGAGAAGUCAAGAUAUAUUUCCCUUUCUCUCUGUUUCCUGUGGUGUGUCUUGGUGUUGGCUGCAUCUCCUCCACCUCUGAAGAAUACCCCCAUUAUGUACUCAGAUGAUAUCAGCCGCCCCUGCUUUUGCUAGAUAAUACUGUUGUCUUCCUUGCUGUAGGAUUUGUGGCACCUUCUUGAGUGUUUAUAAUCUCUUUUAUCCCCAUCUUAGUAUGACUUCUUAGCUCUUUCAUUACCUGUACUAAUCUUGAGUUAAAUACCUCAGAAACAGAGUCUUUUCUGUUUUACUAGCCAAACCCUGACUUCCAUGCUAAUCCAGGCAGAGUCUAAAUCAGUGAAUUUACUCAGGGAUUAAUCACCCCUGAGAAUGGGGGCCAUGGAGACUCUGCUUCCCCCUUACACACAAAGCUGGGAAACAUCACCCAGGCAUGCAUAGAAGCAGUACAUGGCAAGGCUCAGGCUCCUUUGUAUUUAUGCCGGUUCUUCCUUAUAUGUCUCUACAAUCAUGCUUGUAAACAACACAUGAAAUAAACAUGCUAUAUUUUGAUCUCUUAUGUCAUAUUCUCUGGAUUCUGCAAGGUGGCUCCGAAAUACCAGAGCUGGUUUACCACAGUUUAAAUGAAAUCACUUCAUCUGAUGGCUGUGUGGGAAAUGCUGGAGUCCUGUCUCACCUCCGUGGGUCUACCUACUUACCCAGUAUUUCCUCAACUAUAAUGGGCAUAGGGAUCACUCUGAAGGGAAAAAAAAAGGCCCUCGUGGAUGUUGAAAGCAUCUUUUUCAUUAAAGUCAAUGCCAAAGUUCUCCAAGGCAAGCCAAAGCAGCAACUGAGGUAUAUGAUUAUGCAACAUCCUCAACAUGGAGACAGACAUUUUUAAAUUAACUCUGACUUCCUGGCCUAAUUCCCUCUCUUCUGGUAUCCAUACUGGUAAUUUGAAGCCUUGUAAUGUAACACUUUGUAGAGCUAGACUUUAAAGGGAGGGGACUCCUCUAGUUAGUGGUCUUUGCUUUAGCCAGAGAGUCAAAUAUGGCACAUGCUAGGAUUAGGAAUACUGAGCUUUCUCUGAUGUCUACAUUAUCAGCAAAAUUAAGGGUCAUGGUACAACCAUAGUUCCUGUCUUUUUAAACACCAUCUGAAAGAAGUUAGCCUUUACUAAUAAGUUGUAAAUCUGCCUAAAAUUGUCAUUUCCCAAGGGUACUCUGGCAAAUAAAUAUAUCUUAUCAAAAUAGUAAAUCUUUCACUGAGUACAGGAAUACCUUAUUAUAUUGCACUUCACUUUAUUGCACUUCACAAAUAUUAGGGACUUUUUCCAAAUUGAAGGUUUGUGGCAACCUUACAUCAAGUAAGUCUAUCAUUGCCAUUUUUACAACAGCACAUGCUCAAUUACUGUCUGUGUCAUAUUUUGGUAAUUUUCAAUAUUUCAUACAUUUUCAUUGUUUUUAUAUCUGUUAUAGUGACUAGUGAUCUUUGAUGUUGGUAUUGUAAUUGUUUUAAGGCCCCACAAACUGCACCUAUAUAACAUGGCAAAUUUAAUAAAUGAUAUAUAUCUUCUGACCAUUCCACCAACU